CCUACGGGUGGCUGCAGUGGGGAAUAUUGGACAAUGGGCGAAAGCCUGAUCCAGCCAUGCCGCGUGUGUGAAGAAGGCCUUCGGGUUGUAAAGCACUUUCAGUGGGGAAGAAAGCCUUGGGGCUAAUACCCUCGAGGAAGGACAUCACCCACAGAAGAAGCACCGGCUAACUCCGUGCCAGCAGCCGCGGUAAUACGGAGGGUGCGAGCGUUAAUCGGAAUUACUGGGCGUAAAGCGCGAGUAGGCGGUCUGAUAAGCCGGUUGUGAAAGCCCCGGGCUCAACCUGGGAACGGCAUCCGGAACUGUCAGGCUAGAGUGCAGGAGAGGAAGGUAGAAUUCCCGGUGUAGCGGUGAAAUGCGUAGAGAUCGGGAGGAAUACCAGUGGCGAAGGCGGUCUUCUGGACUGACACUGACGCUGAGGUGCGAAAGCGUGGGUAGCAAACAGGAUUAGAUACCCGAGUAGUC
rnacentral:rRNA from 1 species